GUGCUUGCUUCAGCAGCACAUAUACUAAAAUUGGACGCAUACAGAGAUUAGCCUGGCCUGUGUGCAAGAAUGACAUGAAGGUUCAUGAAUCAAAAACUCAAAUG
ensembl:snRNA U6 U6 spliceosomal RNA